CCCUUAGAUGGUCUGGGCGGCACGCGCGCUACAAUGAUGCAUUCAAAAAGUCUUCUGACCUUAGAAGGUUGGGUAUUCUCCAAAGUGCAUCGUGAUGGGAAUAGUUUAUUGCAAUUUUUAAUCUUGAACGAGGAAUUCCUAGUAAGUACAGGUCAUCAACUUGUGUUGAUUACGUCCCUGCCCUUUGUACACACCGCCCGUCGCCCCUACUGAUUGAGUGUCUCGGUGAAUUCUUUGAUCUUCUGUCGAUUCAGUUCACUGAUCCGACGGUGGAAAGUUGAAUGAACUUCGUCACUUAGAGGAAGGAGAAGUCGUAACA
rnacentral:rRNA from 1 species